UCAGGUUUUUUGCUGUAAAAACUGCCUUUUCAGAACACCUCCAGUUACAUAGGAACACCUCCAGUGACAGUCACUCAGACAGCCACUACAGGUGUUUCCUGAAUUAGUGCUGCACAACUUUCCUCAUGUAGAUACCUUGGUUCAAUGCAUCUCUAUGAAGAGAUGCUGAUAUGCCAGCACGGCGUUUGGCGUCAUCCCACCCCCGCCUGUAGGAAAGCAUUGGAUUGGCUGAGAUUGUCAAUUCUGAUGAUCUCAGCCAGGGAGGCAUAUUGGGGACGGAGCCAAUGCCAGCAGACCCUUUGUAGUGCUGGAGUAAAG